GCUGGGUUUGGAUUGGGAAGCCAGACAUUUCUUGGCAUACAUUUCCUACUUGAAUGGAAUUCCAGUUUACCCCCUCCUCACCUCUCCCCAGCCCCCAGGCAGCUAGAGGCCCCACCUCCUUGCUUGGACCAUAUGGGGAAGCUGGCUCAGUGGCUGUUAUUCUACUGACUCCAAGUUCACGCAGCUGUUCAUCCCCUGCUUAAUGUACCGGUGAGUUCCUUGAAGCCCUGAACUGAGCACUUCUUGUGUGCAUGAACAUUUGUUAUAUCUGAAGAUAUUCUGAUUGGCAACAUUUUUAACAUAACUGUUUAAAGAAAAUACCACCAGCACAUAACUCAUCCAUAAAAUUGCUGGUUUUGAACAAGACAGAGAAGGCUGUGACUGGGAUCAUCAGAGAACCAGCCUCCACCCCAAACAAAAUAGGGGCAAAGGAGUCAGAUGAGAAUUUGGUUCAGUAUGAGAUACUGGGCAACAAGACAGGACCCUUGACCUCAGAAACAUAGGAAAUCGAGAAUACUACAGAUCAUGAAGUAGCGGAGCCACAGAGCAAAAUUUCCAGCACUGAUCUUGAGUGCUUUCCCUCGAGGACUCUGUGCUGUUUUCACAAAGGCCUCUCAGAACACUAGGCUUUGAAAGGUAGAAAUGUAAACACCGGGACCAGAGUGGCCUUUGGUCUAAGAGUGAGCCACACAGGUUUCUAUGUAAAUAGUUGCCAGCAUUCCAGUAGUGGUACUGGGAAAUGGUUUUAUGGGAGAAACAAAUCACCCGAAUGUAGAAAAUGCAAUUCCACUGAAGCAGAUCCAGCUUCCUUCCCUGACUGAGAAUGUGGUUAAAUACUGAUUCAGGAGGAAGAUUUGUAUCCUCUGCUGCUGAGGGUCCGGCUCUUGCUCAUUGCUGGUGUUUACAAGAUGACAUUCCCUGCCUCCUGUGACAUGCUGAGGCAGCCCUGACUUUGGAGAUGGGGUGGUGGUGCAUGUGAGGGAAAGGGGAUAAGUGAGGCUGUGUUUUUAUUUGCAGAACUUGGCUGUUCACCUCUCACGUUCACAUCUAACACAUGAAGCCCACCCCAUGCUUGGCUUUUCCAAAACAGUGAUUCUAACGCAACACCCUAAUGAGCUGUGUUAACUCACCUUUCAGAAGGAGGCUGGGGGGACAUACAUCACAACAAGGUGAGAGGAAGGGGUGAUUGUAACAAGAUUAAAUGUGAUUAUCACCAGUAGAAGUUCUAUGAGAUGAAGUGACUGAAUCGCAGCUCACAAUGGCAUCCGAAGAGAAUUAAAAGUGCAAUUUUACUUUA